CAGGGGAUUUUGGGGGUUCCUGGGAUGGCUGUGGCUGCUCUGGGGGAUUUUGGGGGUUCCUGGCUCCGGGAGAGCCCGGCCGGGCUCCAGGCAGGGCUCAGCUGAGUCAGCGUGGCCAGCAGCCAGGGCUGGGGAUCAUUUCUGUCCUGGGAACGCUCAAUUCUGUCCUGGAAUGCUCAGUUCUGUCCUGGGAAUGCUCAAUUCUGUCCUGGGAAUGCUCAAAUCUGUCCUGGGAAUGCUCAAUUCUGUCCUGGGAAUGCUCAAUUCUGUCCUAAACUCACUCAUUUCUGUCCUUGAACUCAUUUCUGUCCUGAACUCACUCAAUUCUGUCCUGAAUUCACUCAAUUCUGUCCUAAACUCACUCAAUUCUGUCCUGAAUUCACUCAAUUCUGUCCUGAACUAAUUUCUGUCCUGAAUUCACUCAAUUUUGUCCUGAACUCACUCAAUUUUGUCCUGAAUUCACUCAAUUUUGUCCUGAACUCACUCAAUUUUGUCCUGAAUUCACUCAAUUCUGUCCUGAGCUCACUCAUUUCUUUCCCUCUCACUCAUUUCUGUCCUGAACUCAUUUCUGUCCUGAAUUCACUCAAUUCUGUCCUGAACUCACUCAAUUUUGUCCUGAAUUCACUCAUUUCUGUCCCUCUCACUCAUUUCUGCCUCGCUCCCAUCCUGGAUGAACAGGGACACAGGGACAGGACUCAUGGAUGGACACAGGGAUGGACACAGGGAUGGACACAGGGAUGGACACAGGGACAGGAUUCCUGGAUGGACACAGGGACAGGAUUCCUGGAUGGACACAGGGAUGGACACAGGGACAGGAUCCCUGGAUGGACACAGGGACAGGAUUCCUGGAUGGACACAGGGAUGGACACAGGGACAGGAUCCCUGGAUGGACACAGGGACAGGAUUCCUGGAUGGACACAGGGAUGGACACAGGGAUGGACACAGGGAUGGACACAGGGACAGGAUUCCUGGAUGGACACAGGGACAGGGAUCUGGAUGGACACAGGGACAGGAUUCCUGGAUGGACACAGGGACAGGAUUCCUGGAUGGACACAGGGAUGGGAUCAGGAUGGACACAGGGACAGGAUCCCUGGAUGGACACAGGGACAGGAUUCCUGGAUGGACACAGGGACAGGAUUCCUGGAUGGACACAGGGAUGGACACAGGGAUGGACACAGGGACAGGGAUCAGGAUGGACACAGGGACAGGAUCCCUGGAUGGACACAAGGACAGGAUCCCUGGAUGGACAGAGCUGUUUUGGGGUGCAUUUCCCAGCCCCUCUGGGUGUCCCUGCAGGAGGAACUGCCUCAUCCCCUCCCUGGAUUAUCUGGGCAGACCCGGCUCAGGCAGAGCCAGGCUUUGCAAGGCCAGCCCAAGUGAGCACAGAUGGCCCAGCCAGGGCUGCCUUUAGUCCUGGCCAGGCCCUGGCACCUCUCGUGGCGCUGCUGCUGCUGCUGCCACCUGUCCCUGCUGUCCCCAAACGCUGUCCCCGAGCUCCUGGGUCACCUGAGCCCACCUGGCAGGUCCUGAGAGCCACGGGGACAGGUGAGGGGUGGCCCUGGUGACACUGAGGGGCACAAAUAAAGGGUUGGGAUUUGUCCCGGUGACAGUGAGGGGCACAAAUAAAGGUUUGGGAUUUGUCCUGGUGACACUGAGGGGCACAAAUAAAGGUUUGGGAUUUUCUGUAGUGGCAGUGAAAGUCACAAAUAAAGGUUUGGGAUUUUCUGUAGUGGCAGUGAAAGUCACAAAUAAAGGUUUAGGGUUUGCUGUGGUGUCAGAGAGGGCACAAAUAAAGGUUUGGGAUUUGUCCUGGUGAAGUGAAAGGCACAAAUAAAGGUUUAGGGCUUGUCCUGGUAGCAAUGGGGGCACAAAUAAAGGUUUAGAGUUGGUCCUGGUGAAGUGAACAGCACAAAUAAGGGUUUAGGGUUCGCUGUAGUGGCAGUGAAAGGCACAAAUAAAGGUUCAGGAUUUGUCCUGGUGGCAGAGAGGGCACAGAUAAAGAUUUGGGAUUUGUCCUGGUGAAGUGAAAGGCACAAAUAUAAGUUUAGGAUUUGUUCUGGUGGCAGUGAAGGACACAAAUAAAGCUUUAGGGUUUGUCCUGGUAGCAAUGGGGGCACAAAUAAAGGUCUGGGAUUUGCUGUAGUGGCAGAGAAAGGCACAAAUGAAAGUUUAGGAUUUGUUCUGGUGGCAGUGCAGGGCACAAAUAAAGGUUUAGGGUUUUCCCUGGUGGGACAGGCAGAUUUCCUGAGGAAAUCAGUUUGGGGGCUGAGGAGAGGGAGCUCGUGUGAGGAGCGAGGUGGAAACGAGUGUGGAGGUUCCACGGCCUCUCCAGGGUCAGGCUGCCAUUGGCAAUCGAUUGAGCCAUUCCCUGGGUCCUCCCAAACAUUCCCUGGAUCCCUGGAUCCUCCCCAGACAUUCCCUGG